CUAAAUAGGAUCCCCACAGUAAUGGCGAAUGAACCGGGAUGAGCUCAGCAUGGAAAUUGGGGCCUAUGGCUUUGACUUGUAAUCUUGUGGGGCAUUGCCAACAGAGGCGCAAAUGUAAGUCUUUUGGAAAAGAGCAUCAAUGAGGGUGAGAGUCCUGCUUGACAUUUGCAGCCCCCCUGUGCACGGUGUGCCGUCUAAGAGUCACGUUCCUCGAGAUUGGAGCGCAAAGUGGGUGGUAACUUUCAUCUGAAGCUAAACAAUGGUUUGGGACUGAUAGGAAACAAGUACCAUGAGGGAAAGGUGAAAAGGACUUUGGAAAGAGAGUUAAAAGUGCCUGAAAUUGCUGAAAGGGAAGCGAAUGGAACCAGUUGUGUUGGUGAGAUUGUUGCAUGCUGCACGGAUUGAUUGCUGUGGUAAUGCAAAUACUUUUGCAAUUAUUGAAGUAGUAGUGUGUGGUGUGUCUUGCCUUAGUUGUCAUUGUGUGUUUUUGCAUUAAGACAAUUCAAAAUGUAUGGCAAUAGGUUUGAAUCUAUGAACAUGUUUUGUUAUGUGUAUGUAUUAGCGUGUGAUAAAUGUCUGGCUGUAAGGCUUACGAUUGUGAAACUUCUGUUUUAUAAUUGUGCAACUGCACAGAUUUUGACUAUACGGU
rnacentral:rRNA from 1 species